UAGCAAUUUCCUUUGGACCGGAUCCGCAUGAAAGCCUUUAGAUCCGUCUGUAGCGGACAUACGGUUUCUGACUGUGGGCCAGAUCUGCACCUGAUAAGAUUUCAGCUCUGCUAGCAAAGCUGUUUUUUCAUCGAUUUACAGAUUUGUUCCAGGUCCGGUUUCCGCAACUCAACCGGAAGUCAGGAGAUGCGUUUAAAAUACAAAACACUAAUUUGGCCCAAACCUGUGAUACGGAUAUGGGCAGAAGGAGCAGGUGGUAAUUGAACAGAGAAGUCAACUAGCUGGCUGCUGUAGAAUAAAAGUAUUUUGUAAUGGCACAAAUUUAGAAACAUGAGGGUGCACUAUGUGCCCAUGGCCACUUCAUUUCUACACUAAAUUUAAGCUAAUUGGCUCAGUAUAUGUGCCAGUUACACUUUUCAGUGCUGUUUUUCUACAGUCAGCAGAUUUGGGCCAGAUCCACUUACCACAUCAGAACCAAAGCUUCCAGAAAGACAGUUCCCUGAUGUGGCCCACAUCUGUAAUAUUGACCCAAACCACCUCCAAACUUGUGUGUUCCACUCUGGUUUACUGAACAGAGCCGAACGCGCGAAGUGAGUGAGGUCCGUCCGUUUGAGAGACGUUAUGCUGAUCUGGCCCUCAUCCGUACCACGGAUUAUAGCCAGAAACCGUUGGAAUAGAUCAAAUGAAACUUUUGUGGGGGUGCCCAUGCCAUAUUUCGUUAUUAAAUCCUGAUUUGUUAAAUCUUACAAUGGAACACUUGCACGUAGCCUACACAAAAAUGAUUAAUUCACUAACAAAGUAAUAGGCUUGUCUCAAAAUGGAAGAUUUACCACAUAACAAAAUAAUACAUUAGCAACUGUCCACUAUCCAAGUGCAAUGGUCCAAGCUGUAUUGCCAUCCUGGGAAGAAAAAAAGUUGCGAACAUCGUGGGAAAAACCGGCACUGGCGCACAUAAUGGAUGGCAGCAUGGGUGCAUUUAUAGUCCAUCAUGACAUAAAAAAUCCUCUGCAUGCAACCACGAGGAGAGGGGGAAUUUACUAAGGAGUUUUGUCUAUAUAUUAUAUAAAAUCUACUGUUGGGAAGAGCAGAACCUAAUCCAAAUAAAAAUAAACAAGCUGUUAAAAGCCAGUUGAAGGUGGUCAACACAAACCAAAUGAAGAUGUUGCACAUUCCACAAACAAUAAAAAAGAAGAUCAAGUUUUGUGUCCAACACACUUGGAUGAGACGUGCCCGACCCCUGACUUUGUCUACCCUACAUUAAGUUGUGAUGGCACACUUCAUGACAGUAAACAUCGAUAUCAAGAUGAUGUGAUUGAUCUAUACCCUAGAAUAAGCUGUGACACUAUGAGACGGUGACAUAAUGAACAGCCAUCUUCCAGACAACCGAAACAGUAUUGUCUACAAUACCAAAUUCUGGAUUGACGCCCCAGUACCAGAAGGCACUCCAAUCCCAGAGAGCAUCCCAUUGUGAGGUAACACAACGAAAAAAUAACAGAAUGGAGACUACCUGAUUCUUCACCUAUGGCCUUAGCUUCAAAUGCAAGAAGUCCAGCAACUUUCUGAGCUGGUGGAUAUUCUAUCAGAGACUGCAUGAACAACGUUAUGAACAGAUGCUGUGAGGAGGUGGAGCCCAAAAGCCACGGACUCGGAAAUCGAUGCAGCUAUGGCAGACCACCUCAAGCACGCUCCAGAAAGAGAGCUAGGGGUUGUGAAUACAAAAAAUAAGCCAAACAGAUGUAAUGUGUUAGAGAUAGUUCACACAAAAAUGAAAAUUGUUAUAAUUUUCUUACCCACGUGUUUCAAACCUGUAUACAUUUCUAUUUUUUGCUGAACACAAAGAUUGAAUAAUGUUUGUAACCAAGCAUUUCUCACAACCCAUUAACUGUCAUAAUCAUUUUUUUUACAAUUGUAGUAAUGGGUUGUGAGAUCUGCUUUGUUAAAAACAUUCUUUCAAAUAUCUUUGUGUUCCGCAGAACAUAGAAAGGUAUACAGGUUUGAAACAUGAGAGGGAGUAAAUGACUAAAUAUUCAUUUUUGGGUGAACUAUCCCUUUAUAUAAUAAAGUAUUUUGAAAUUGUUAUUAUAGUUAAAAAAAUAAAAGUCUUAAAUCAGAACAUGCUUCUUUUUUGCUCAUGUCCACAAAUAAUGUGUUCUUUAAUGUGUUUAAUGCCUAAAGACCUACACCAAGCGACAAGUGCUAUGGUUGUUAGCUUAUAUACAUUCUGAAAAUUUCAUGUGUACUUUAUGUGAAUGGAGGCCUAUGAUUAUUGCUUCUGACUGUAGGGUAAUUAAAUAUAAGGUAGCCUAAACACAUGAAAGACUAAACAUCACAUAGGCCAUAAAUCCCAAAAAUAAGGCAUAGCUGGCAUUGAUCUGGUACGCGGAUCUGUGCCGCAUCUCUAUGCGGGACUGGGCCAGCUCUGUUCCAUUUCCAGUUCAGAUUUGUGAAACUAAUCCUGACCACUUCUUGGCCGAUGUGC